CUCUGCUCUUGAACACAAUGGGAAUUAUCAAGUGAGCAGAUUGAAGAGGGACCUCAUCAGAAGCUGAAAAAGAGUUUCCAAGAGGAGAAGGAUGGAGAGGUUGAGUCUGGAGGGCCAACUAUACUGAACUCAAGUACAUAUUGGGAAAAUUUUGAAGACUCUCACCUUCAUCACCUGCCAUUUAACCAUGAGGGAAAAGAAAAGGAAAGGAAAAAAGAAAUCAGAAUUCAUUCCGGAACAAAUAACUUCAGGCAAGAGGAAACAAAAGUUCAAAAAUCUUGCAGACCUCAGCAAAAAGGCCUCUGAGGAAAUGACAUGACUACAUUAUAUCCUGGACAAAACCAAGUCAACAUUCCCUUGGCUUUAUAAUUACUGGAUAGACAAUUAUUUACAGGUGGGAAAAAAGAAAGAAAAACUCAAGUGUACGUAUCUGUUAUCAGAUGAGAAGGUGCUUUGAGCACUGAUAU